GAUGAACGCUGGCGGCAGGCCUAACACAUGCAAGUCGAGCGAGCGGCGGACGGGUGAGUAAUGUCUGGGAAACUGCCUGAUGGAGGGGGAUAACUACUGGAAACGGUAGCUAAUACCGCAUACCAUCAGCUGUGCCCAGAUGGGAUUAGCUAGUAGGUGGGGUACCGGCUCACCUAGGCGACGAUCACUAGCUGGUCGGAGAGGAUGACCAGCCAACCUGGAACUGAGACACGGUCCAGACUCCGACGGGAGGCAGCAGGGGGGAAUAUUGCACAAGGGGCGAAAGCCUGAUGCAGCCAGGCGGAGUGUAUGAAGAAGGCCUUCGGGUUGUAAAGUACUGUCAGCGGGGAGGCGUUACCCGCAGAAGAAGCACCGGCUAACUCCGUGCCAGCCGCCGCGGUAAUUC
rnacentral:rRNA from 1 species